GCGUAUGCAACUUGCCCUACUGAAAAGGAUAGCCCUUCGAAAGGAGGAUUAAUACUUUAUAAUAGAAAUCAUGGCAUCAUGAAUUUUUGAAAGAUUUAUCGCAGUAGGAUAGGCAUGCGUAAGAUUAGUUAGUUGGUGAGGUAACGGCUCACCAAGACGAUGAUCUUUAGGGGGCCUGAGAGGGUGAACCCCCACACUGGUACUGAGACACGGACCAGACUCCUACGGGAGGCAGCAGUGAGGAAUAUUGGACAAUGGGUGGAAGCCUGAUCCAGCCAUCCCGCGUGUA
rnacentral:rRNA from 1 species